CGGCGCUGGUUGCCGGGGCGGCGGAUGGCGGCGGCGGCUUCUCGAUGGCGGCGGGGCUGAGUGCCGACCCUGCACCGGCGGCCGGGACGCGGGGACUCCCCGUUCGGUGCGGGGAGGGCCAGUCCUCGGGAAAAAGGGAGGGAGAGAGAGAGGCUGAUACUGAAGCCAACUAGCUGCACUUCUGAGCGGGAAACACCGGACUGAUUUCAUGGCUUGCUUUUUAUUUCAUUAAUACUUCAUUAUCUCUGAAAAUACCUUUCGUGAAGCUCUUCUCCUAACUCUCCUAACUCCUCUUUCACGAGGUGGCUGCUGCUGUGCAAGGGAAGGAAUGGCAUGAAGUAAAUGACUCCAAUAUAAAGCAAUCUGCUGUGCCCAAGUGCCCAGUGGGCAGCACUGUCACUUUAAUAAUUCCAGGUCAAGGGAUUGCUUUCCUCGUUUUCAAUCCUCUCUUUUAAUACAUGGGAGGAUCAGAGGGACAUUAAAGACCGUAAGGCUGGGUGGCUUGCAGAUAAUAAAAAUGAAAGUGUCUGCCCAGUGACUUCUGUUGGGUUAGAGGGUGAUAUUUGAAGGCUCUUGUCUGGUCAGAAAAAAGGGAUCUUUUCAGUCAGCUGUGUAGUCACCUAAUACAUAGCUAGCAAAAUUAAUUCAAGAAGUGAAACAGCUUAAAGAGGCACUUUGGAUUGUUUUUGUCUUCCUCCUUAUUUGGAUUACUUGGGCAUUUUUAUCCUACAAAUAAUAUGUUUUUGAGCAUGUACAGGUGGAGUAUUGAGACAGCUGCCUAGAUAUGGACCGUGCCUUAAUUGUAUUGCAUAAAAUCUUUUAAUUUUCAAACUUUGCUGCCAGAAGAGGAGUUAUAAUAAGGUUUUAUAUUGCCAAGGAACGUUUGCUCUUGUAUUUUUGUAGAGUCAAAUAUAUUUUAAAGAAAUUGAAAGCAUCUCUUAAAAAGAAUCAAAAAGCUUCUUUUUCCUCCCUUUUUUUUAUUUGUGGAGAGCAUCGGAAGUCCAAUCCAAGGGAUCAGCAAGUAUUCACAGAAAUGAAGACUGAAGCUGCAUUUCCUUACUGAACUGUAAAAGUGUUCUGCAAUAGAUAGUCAGUUCCUGACCUUGCAGAGUGUUCCAGUAGUACUUCGUUAGUACCUGUAAAAAAGUGAUUGCAACCAGAUUCAGAAGUAGGAAGAAGAAUGCCAGUCAAGAAGAAAGGUGGGCUAUGAAGCUUCAUAUCUCAUAUUGCAUCUUCAUUGUGUUUGAUUGUUGAUUUCUAGUACUUAACAAUUUCAAAUUAAAAAUGCUUUAAUGGGGAAUGGAAAUAGCUUUUCUUUUGCAUUGAAAAUGGGAGAAAAAUCUGUGCACUUAAAAUAAUAAUUUUUAAAAGUAAUUUUAUGCUGUGUUUUAAGAUUUAUGUCAAAUUUGGCCUCAAAUGUUUAUUUUUGAUAAAGAUCAGACAUCCAAGAUUUUGAAUAGACACCAAGAGAAAAGCUUGAUGUUUAAUUUUAUGAGAAGCCUCUCUUACAAACGCUAAUAAAUUUUAAAACUGCAGUUUAAUCUGUUUUCUAUUUGUGACAUGUUUGGCGGAUAAACAUCAGUUAUCAGUAGCAGCAUAAAUAAAAAACAAAGUUUCAAGGCUAAUUUUAAAAAUAAGUUACGAGACCUGUGUUUUGAAGGUGAUUUGAACGUGGGUUUGUUUUUUUUUUUUCCAAAUGUGAUUUUAAUUCGCUUGAAUUUCCAUGCUUUAGUACAGUAUAAAACUACUGCUUUUAGGAUUGUAAUAUGGCAGCAUUUAAGAAAAGACAAACAGCCUUACAUUUGGCCUCUUCUCACUUCAAGUUUGUGUGUGCAGCUGUGGAAAAUGUGGCUUCCAGUCUUCAAACAACAAUUGGGAAGUAUAUGAAGGCGAAUUUUUACUCUGAAAGCACUCGCAGACCUUAGGUUUUCUGGUUUCUUGCAAAUUGGAUACCAAUUUAAAGUUUCUGGAUAUGCUAAUGGAGUAAGGGUCAUGUGAACCUUUUUUUAUUCAGCUCAUCUAUCCAGAUGUGCCUGAAUCUGAUAUAUCCCCUGGAUCUGAUGAUACAAAGUGUGGAGGAAAGGGCAAAAAAUGAAUGUUACAAAGAGAAAUGAGGAUGUAAUUGAUGUGACUUUGGAUUCUCUUCCCUAUAGGAAUAACUCCUUAGUUAUGAAUUAACAUUUACUAUAUAAAUAAUGAUAAACUGCACAGAUUGGUAAAAUUAUUUUCAUUAAAAAAGAACAAAAAAUGGGAUUUUGUGAAUGUAUUUUAAAAAAUGACACUGUAGAAAUGAAAUUUCAAACCUGAAAUAUUUUAAUAAAUGGCAUUGCCAUUCAUGGAAUCGCUUGCCAUUAUGUGUAGUAAAGGUGGAAACGUGUGUGGAGGAGUUACCUUCUUAAUAAUUGAUCCUGCUGUGCUGUAAAAGUGUCACCCUGAUGUACUGGUGAGGCUUCUUUAUCGUACCUGUUUACAGAUAAAGGAAAACUGAGGCUUUUCAUAAUUUAAAUUUUAAUCCUGAUUUAAGUAAUUUACACUGAGGAUGUUUCUGUGCUGGAUAUUCAUCUGUAAUUCAGUUUUCCAAAUACUUGCAACAGGACUUUUGGGGUGAAAUCUUACAGGCUAUUUUGUGCAGAAGUGAGAUUGGCAAUCACAGCAGUCCCUUCUGGCCUUAAAAAUAUGUGAAUUUCCUGUUUGUUUCCAGGCAGUUUGGGUCAGUCUUAGUGUACACCAAAAUCUUGACUUUCUUCUUUGGUGUUAGGAGGAUGUGUGUUUUGGCAACAUUAAAAUAUAAAGUGAAGAGACCCAAAUAUCCCCCUUGAAACACUUUAAAUUGUCACAUCAGUCAGUGUGCUGAAGUUGCCAGUGUGAAUGUAUUUGAUUAUUAAAAGGAUAUUGUUAAGAAUGUAUUUAAGCAUGUAAAUUGCAGGAUUAAAAAUGUUGGCAAAUCAGCAACUUCAUUGUGAUUUUGAGCGACUUAAUUUGUCUAGUUCAUGCAAUAGACUUUAACUUUCUAAACGUAAUUAAAAGCAUGCUGGCAACUCAAAACAUUCUACCAUUUUUAAAAAGAUUGCUAUUUUUUCCUUGUAAUCCCUGUUACUCCUGUGAAUAUUAGGGAGAUUGAGGAGAUUCUUCCAUGUUUGGUUUUUGGUUUUUUUUCCCAUUUAUUUGCUUUAUGAUUAUGACAGCUGUUUGUGGGUAACUAGUUUAGUAUUUCUGAUGAUGACUUAUUUUCCCUUUCUGGGGAAAAAUUUGGGAGUUCAUGUCUACUGUCCUUCCCAUUGAGGGCAUCUGUAGAAAUCUCAGUGGGAUACUCUCUUGUAAGCUGUGCAGAAGUAAUUCAGUAUCAGCAUUGAGGACAGGAUUAUCCCUCUCCUUGUCAGCACUUCUUUCUGCAUUGCUAUUUUGGAUUUGGUUAAAAUAUUCUCCUAAAAUCAGUAUGGAGACAGAGAAACCUGUGAAACAAGCUUUAAAACAUACUGAUAUUUAUCACUGGAAGUUCUUACCAAGCACCACUUUCUUUGGCACUGGCCGGUCCUGGGUCUUUCUAAAGAACAACUGAAGCAUUUUGGGAAUUCACCUUUUAAAUAGCUCUCACAUCUAGUACCAGUCUUCAAAUUUCAUACAGCUUUGCACUUAAUUUAUGUUGCUGCUUGGUGUGAUGCCUGCCAUCUUGCUUUUAAAAGUCCAGGCCUGUUUAGUUAGGGAAAAAGUGGUUUGCUUAAUAAUAAAAAUCAUAUAACUUAUAGGAAGCUUUAAUUUCAUAUGGAUGUGGGAAAAAAAGGUUUGCUUC